GCUCAGUUGGUGUAAUGGGCAACAUGGCGAUCUAUAAGUUUACAUCGCAGACGUGGGUUCAAAUCCCGCACUGGGAC